CAUUUCUCAAGUCUGUCCCUUGUUGACAAAUUAGUUUUGAUUUUUUGUGAAAAUUGUCAGCAAGAAAUUAUUUUCUUUGGCAAAAAACAAAAUCACGCGAAUUUAGGACCCAUUUGUGGACCGAACCCUUAAGAUUGGAAGCAUCAAAAAAGUUGCAGGAAUUUAAUAAAUGUGUAGUCUUAGUGGAAGAGAUGCAGAAGUUCAAAUAAGGGAGAAGAAAGCGUCAGGGUAUCAAGGCCACAUGCGGCAGUGACUACUGGGAUGUCCAUCAAGAAAAAACGUUAAAAAUGAUUAAAAACUAAAAAAAAAAUAAUAUU